rnacentral:rRNA from 1 species
UACGUAGGGGGCAAGCGUUGUCCGGAAUCACUGGGCGUAAAGCGCGCGCAGGCGGUCAUCUACGUCUGGGGUGAAAGCCCGGAGCUCAACUCCGGGAUUGCCUUGGAUACGGGAUGACUUGAGGAUCGGAGAGGCAAGGGGAAUUCCACGUGUAGCGGUGAAAUGCGUAGAGAUGUAGAGGAACACCUGUGGCGAAGGCGCCUUGCUGGCCGAUUUCUGACGCUGAGGCGCGAAAGCGUGGGGAGCAAACAGG